GUCAGCGGCGAUAGCGCGUUAAAUGCAUCAGUUCCCAAUGGAUCACUGAGGUUAAGCAACAUUGCACGAGAUUAGUAUCUGUAUGGAUGGCAAUCUGGGCAAUUACGUGCUUCUGGCU
rfam:Asian citrus Psyllid, Diaphorina citri - Florida Strain, whole genome shotgun sequence.